rnacentral:lncRNA from 1 species
AUUUGCCUACACACUUUGUGUGUAUGAACACAUUUUUUAGAAAAUGAGAAUGAGAGAGGGAGAGAGGCAGAGAGAAAGAACGUGGGGGAGUGAGAGGUUUUUGUUUUGUUUUUUUUUUUAAAUAAAUAUUGGAGGUAUUUUAACAUCACCUGUAGAUGAUGCUUCAAUAAAAAACAGUAAAAUUUGGACCUGUAAAAUUACAUUAUUGCCCAUCAUUUUUUUUGUGUGAUAGAAGACUAAUUUGUCUUUUUAACCUCUUUUGAUUGACAAAGAGGUUUUAUUAAUUAGUAGAGAUAUAUGGCCCAAAGGAUUAAAGUCGUCCUCUUCUUAAAGCAAAUAGGCCUCAAUGCCUCACAGAGUAAAGGCUUCACAAAGGAGUUUGCUGGCUUUCCCUCUCCCUCGAUCUCCACCGACAACAG